ACGCUGGCGGCGUGCCUAAUACAUGCAAGUAGAACGCUGAAGGAGGAGCUUACUCUUCUGGAUGAGUUGCGAACGGGUGAGUAACGCGUAGGUAACCUGCCUGGUAGCGGGGGAUAACUAUUGGAAACGAUAGCUAAUACCGCAUAACAGUAGAUGUUGCAUGACAUUUGCUUAAAAGGUGCAAUUGCAUCACUACCAGAUGGACCUGCGUUGUAUUAGCUAGUUGGUGGGGUAACGGCUCACCAAGGCGACGAUACAUAGCCGACCUGAGAGGGUGACCGGCCACACUGGGACUGAGACACGGCUCAGACUCCUACGGGAGGCAGCAGUAGGGAGUCUUCGGCAAUGGACGGAAGUCUGACCGAGCAACGCCGCGUGAGUGAAGAAGGUUUUCGGAUCGUAAAGCUCUGUUGUAAGAGAAGAACGAGUGUGAGAGUGGAAAGUUCACGCUGCGACGGUAUCUUACCAGAAAGGGACGGCUAACUACGUGCCAGCAGCCGCGGUAAUACGUAGGUCCCGAGCGUUGUCCGGAUUUAUUGGGCGUAAAGCGAGCGCAGGCGGUUAGAUAAGUCUGAAGUUAAAGGCUGUGGCUUAACCAUAGUACGCUUUGGAAACUGUUUAACUUGAGUGCAAGAGGGGAGAGUGGAAUUCCAUGUGUAGCGGUGAAAUGCGUAGAUAUAUGGAGGAACACCGGUGGCGAAAGCGGCUCUCUGGCUUGUAACUGACGCUGAGGCUCGAAAGCGUGGGGAGCAAACAGGAUUAGAUACCCUGGUAGUCCACGCCGUAAACGAUGAGUGCUAGGUGUUAGACCCUUUCCGGGGUUUAGUGCCGCAGCUAACGCAUUAAGCACUCCGCCUGGGGAGUACGACCGCAAGGUUGAAACUCAAAGGAAUUGACGGGGGCCCGCACAAGCGGUGGAGC
rnacentral:rRNA from 1 species